rfam:Salmo salar isolate Sally breed double haploid chromosome ssa28, whole genome shotgun sequence.
UGCACACACUGCUGUACGUUGCUUUGGAUAAAAGCGUCUCCUAAAUGGCAUAUU